GGAUGACAUCUGUAAGCUAGAGAUGUUACCCGAUACAAUCUUCCUACAAAAAAAUUCUGUGCUUUCCUGUUCGCCGUUCUGAAGAGAAGUCUGCGAACCUCAAACUGACAGAAACAGUG
rfam:Spinacia oleracea cultivar SynViroflay scaffold10648.con0001.1, whole genome shotgun sequence.